rnacentral:rRNA from 1 species
UACGUAGGGGGCGAGCGUUGUCCGGAGUUACUGGGCGUAAAGCGCACGCAGGCGGUCGCAUAAGUUUGGAGUGACAGUUGGUGGCUUAACUGCCAAAGUGCUUCGAAAACUGUGUGACUUGAGGGCUUCAGAGGGACACGGAAUUCCGGGUGGAGUGGUGAAAUGCGUAGAGAUCCGGAGGAACACCGAAGGCGAAGGCAGUGUCCUGGGGAGUACCUGACGCUCAGGUGCGAAAGCCAGGGGAGCGAACGGG